GGCCCCCACAAGCGGUGGAGCAUGUGGUUUAAUUCGAAGCAACGCGAAGAACCUUACCAGGUCUUGACAUCCUCUGACAACCCUAGAGAUAGGGCUUUCCCUUCGGGGACAGAGUGACAGGUGGUGCAUGGUUGUCGUCAGCUCGUGUCGUGAGAUGUUGGGUUAAGUCCCGCAACGAGCGCAACCCUUGAUCUUAGUUGCCAGCAUUCAGUUGGGCACUCUAAGGUGACUGCCGGUGACAAACCGGAGGAAGGUGGGGAUGACGUCAAAUCAUCAUGCCCCUUAUGACCUGGGCUACACACGUGCUACAAUGGACAGAACAAAGGGCUGCGAGACCGCAAGGUUUAGCCAAUCCCACAAAUCUGUUCUCAGUUCGGAUCGCAGUCUGCAACUCGACUGCGUGAAGCUGGAAUCGCUAGUAAUCGC
rnacentral:rRNA from 2 species